GGGGAAUYUUCCGCAAUGGGCGCAAGCCUGACGGAGCAACGCCGCGUGAGGGAGGAAUGUCUGUGGAUUGUAAACCUCUUUUCUCUGGGAAGAAGAUCUGACGGUACCAGAGGAAUCAGCAUCGGCUAACUCCGUGCCAGCAGCCGCGGUAAGACGGAGGAUGCAAGCGUUAUCCGGAAUUAUUGGGCGUAAAGCGUCCGUAGGCGGUUAAUUAAGUCAGUUGUUAAAGACUGCAGCUCAACUGUGGGAGAGCAACUGAAACUGAUUGACUAGAGUAUGGUAGGGGUAGAGGGAAUUCCUAGUGUAGCGGUGAAAUGCGUAGAUAUUAGGAAGAACACCAGUGGCGAAGGCGCUCUGCUGGGCCAAGACUGACGCUGAUGGACGAAAGCUAGGGGAGCGAAAGGGAUUAGAUACCCCUGUAGUCCUAGCUGUAAACGAUGGAUACUAGGUGUUGUGCGUAUCGACCCGUGCAGUACCGCAGCAAACGCGUUAAGUAUCCCGCCUGGGGAGUACGCACGCAAGUGUGAAACUCAAAGGAAUUGACGGGGGCCCGCACAAGCGGUGGAGUAUGUGGUUUAAUUCGAUGCAACGCGAAGAACCUUACCAGGACUUGACAUCCCCCGAAUCCUUCAGAAAUGAGGGAGUGCCUUCGGGAACGGGGAGACAGGUGGUGCAUGGCUGUCGUCAGCUCGUGUCGUGAGAUGUUGGGUUAAGUCCCGCAACGAGCGCAACCCACGUUUUCAGUUGCCAUCAUUCAGUUGGGCACUCUGGAGAGACUGCCGGGGACAACUCGGAGGAAGGUGUGGACGACGUCAAGUCAUCAUGCCCCUUACGUUCUGGGCUACACACGUACUACAAUGCAACGGACAAAGGGCAGCCAGCUAGCGAUAGUGAGCUAAUCCCAUAAACCGUUGCUCAGUUCAGAUUGCAGGCUGCAACUCGCCU
rnacentral:rRNA from 1 species